rnacentral:rRNA from 1 species
UUUCUUUGCUGGCGACCGGCGCACGGGUGAGUAACACGUAUCCAACCUGCCCUUUACUCGGGGAUAGCCUUUCGAAAGAAAGAUUAAUACCCGAUAGUAUAAUGAUUCCGCAUGGUUUCAUUAUUAAAGGAUUCCGGUAAAGGAUGGGGAUGCGUUCCAUUAGGUUGUUGGUGAUGUAACGGCUCACCAAGCCUUCGAUGGAUAGGGGUUCUGAGAAGAAGGUCCCCCACAUUGGAACUGAGACACGGUCCAA